GAAGGACGUGCUAAUCUGCGAAAAGCUUGGAUGAGUCGAUAAGAGGCGUUUAAUCCAAGAUGUCCGAAUGGGGAAACCCAGUAGAUGAAGAAUCUACUAUCACUUACUGAAUUCAUAGGUAAGUGAGGCGAACCGGGAGAACUGAAACAUCUAAGUACCCCGAGGAAAAGAAAUCAACCGAGAUUUUGUGAGUAGCGGCGAGCGAAAGCGAAAGAGCCUGUUAGUGAUAGCGACAGAGACAGAGGAACAAGCUGGGAAGUUUGGCGACACAGGGUGAUAGCCCCGUACUCGAAGUCCAGGUCGUGGUACUAAGCUAACGAGAAGUAGGGCGGGACACGUGAUAUCCUGUUUGAAGAUGGGGGGACCAUCCUCCAAGGCUAAAUACUCCUGAUUGACCGAUAGUGAACCAGUACUGUGAAGGAAAGGCGAAAAGAACCCCGGUGAGGGGAGUGAAAUAGAACCUGAAACCUUGUACGUACAAGCAGUGGGAGCCCUUUAAGGGUGACUGCGUACCUUUUGUAUAAUGGGUCAGCGACUUAUAUUUUGUAGCGAGGUUAACCGAAUAGGGGAGCCGAAGGGAAACCGAGUCUUAACUGGGCGUCUAGUUGCAAGGUAUAGACCCGAAACCCGGUGAUCUAGCCAUGGGCAGGUUGAAGGUUGGGUAACACUAACUGGAGGACCGAACCGACUAAUGUUGAAAAAUUAGCGGAUGACUUGUGGCUGGGGGUGAAAGGCCAAUCAAACCGGGAGAUAGCUGGUUCUCCCCGAAAUCUAUUUAGGUAGAGCCUUGAGCGGACACCUUCGGGGGUAGAGCACUGUUUCGGCUAGGGGUCCAUCCCGGAUUACCAACCCGAUGCAAACUACGAAUACCGAAGAGUGAUACUCAGGAGACACACGGCGGGUGCUAACGUCCGUCGUGGAGAGGGAAACAACCCAGACCGCCAGCUAAGGUCCCAAAGUCUAUAUUAAGUGGGAAACGAAGUGGGAAGGCUUAGACAGCUAGGAUGUUGGCUUAGAAGCAGCCAUCAUUUAAAGAAAGCGUAAUAGCUCACUAGUCGAGUCGGCCUGCGCGGAAGAUGUAACGGGGCUCAAAUAUAGCACCGAAGCUGCGGCAUCAGUAGCAAUACUGUUGGGUAGGGGAGCGUUGUGUAAGCGGAAGAAGGUUCAUCGAGAGGUGGGCUGGACGUAUCACAAGUGCGAAUGCUGACAUAAGUAACGAUAAAACGGGUGAAAAACCCGUUCGCCGGAAGACCAAGGGUUCCUGUCCAACGUUAAUCGGGGCAGGGUGAGUCGGCCCCUAAGGCGAGGCUGAAAAGCGUAGUCGAUGGGAAACGGGUUAAUAUUCCCGUACUUGGAUAAACUGCGAUGUGGGGACGGAGUAGGUUAGGUUAUCGCACUGUUGGAUAUGUGCGUUUAAGUUUGUAGGUGUGAAGUUUAGGCAAAUCCGGACUUCUAUAACACUGAGAGAUGAUGACGAGGCUCUACGGAGCUGAAGUAACCGAUACCACACUUCCAGGAAAAGCCACUAAGCUUCAGGUUUAUCUAAACCGUACUGAAAACCGACACAGGUGGUCAGGUAGAGAAUACUCAGGCGCUUGAGAGAACUCGGGUGAAGGAACUAGGCAAAAUAGCACCGUAACUUCGGGAGAAGGUGCGCCGGCGUAGAUUGUAGUCCCUUGCGGAUGAAGGUUGAACCGGUCGAAGAUACCAGCUGGCUGCAACUGUUUAUUAAAAACACAGCACUCUGCAAACACGAAAGUGGACGUAUAGGGUGUGAUGCCUGCCCGGUGCUGGAAGGUUAAUUGAUGGUGUAAUCGAAAGAGAAGCUCCUGAUCGAAGCCCCAGUAAACGGCGGCCGUAACUAUAACGGUCCUAAGGUAGCGAAAUUCCUUGUCGGGU
rnacentral:rRNA from 1 species